rnacentral:rRNA from 1 species
AGUGAACGCUGGCGAUAGGCCUAACACAUGCAAGUCGAACGGCAGCACAGUAAGAGCUUGCUCUUACGGGUGGCGAGUGGCGGACGGGUGAGGAAUACAUCGGAAUCUACUUUUUCGUGGGGGAUAACGUAGGGAAACUUACGCUAAUACCGCAUACGACCUACGGGUGAAAGCAGGGGAUCUUCGGACCUUGCGCGAUUGAAUGAGCCGAUGUCGGAUUAGCUAGUUGGCGGGGUAAAGGCCCACCAAGGCGACGAUCCGUAGCUGGUCUGAGAGGAUGAUCAGCCACACUGGAACUGAGACACGGUCCAGACUCCUACGGGAGGCAGCAGUGGGGAAUAUUGGACAAUGGGCGCAAGCCUGAUCCAGCCAUACCGCGUGAGUGAAGAAGGCCUUCGGGUUGUAAAGCCCUUUUGUUGGGAAAGAAAAGCAGCAGGUUAAUACCCCGCUGUUCUGACGGUACCCAAGGAAUAAGCACCGGCUAACUUCGUG